AACUGAUACUACCUGCGGGAACCUGCGGAAGGAUCAUUAGUGAUUGCCAUCUUGGCUUAAACUAUAUCCAUCUACACCUGUGAACCGUUUGAUUGAAUCUUCUGAUUCAAUUUUACAAACAUUGUGUAAUGAACGUCAUUAGAUCAUAACAUGAAAAAACUUUCAACAAUGGAUCUCU
rnacentral:misc_RNA from 1 species